UAGGGAAUCUUCCACAAUGGACGCAAGUCUGAUGGAGCAACGGCCGCGUGAGUGAAGAAGGUUUUCGGACCGUAAAGCUCUGUUGUUGGUGAAGAAGGAUAGAGGUAGUAACUGGCCUUUAUUUGACGGUAAUCAACCAGAAAGUCACGGCUAACUACGUGCCAGCAGCCGCGGUAAUCGUAGGUGGCAAGCGUUGUCCGGAUUUAUUGGGCGUAAAGCGAGCGCAGGCGGAAGAAUAAGUCUGAUGUGAAAGCCCUCGGCUUAACCGAGGAAUUGCAUCGGAAACUGUUUUCUUGAGUGCAGAAGAGGAGAGUAGAACUCCAUGUGUAGCGGUGGAAUGCGUAGGUAUAUGGAAGAAUACCAGUGGCGAAGGCGGCUCUCUGGUCUGCAACUGACGCUGAGGCUCGAAAGCAUGGGUAGCGAACAGGAUUAGAUACCCUGGUAGUCCAUGCCGUAAACGAUGAGUGCUAAGUGUUGGGAGGCUUCCGCCUCUCAGUGCUGCAGCUAACGCAUUAAGCACUCCGCCUGGGGGAGUACGACCGCAAGGUUGAAAC
rnacentral:rRNA from 1 species